GGCCAAGGGAGAGGGAGCCCUCUUGGACUCAUCUCCUUUCUGAGUCAUGAAGUCCCAGAGCCUGAGAAACCUUUCUGACAAUCUCCAGCCCUGAGAGCAAAGUAUUAUCUAGCUCUUAUGAAAAGCCACAAUACCAGAUCCAAGUCUUCAUGUUCCUAACCUAGCUAUACUUAAUGGAGCUCUACCCAUACUAGCGAAGGACACAAUUGCUUCUUGCCACAACGUUGGAUUUGAAUCUCCAUGCACCUGACCCAACUACAUUAGCAUUGCCAGAACUGCAAUCAAUUAGGGGCCAGAAUUCAUUCAGCUUUAUUAUAGUAUGGAGGCAAUGGUAUAACCCUAGACCAGAGUCCUUGCCUCAAGAAUUAGUUCCUCCCUACAAGGAAGGAGCCUUCUUCUCCCUAGUUUUGGUGUGUGACUGGCUAUAC